CAUUUUUUUGUAUACCACUCCAGGUGGCAUUUUACAUAUAAACAAUACUGAAUGGCGUUGAAAGACUACGAAGGAGACUUUGCAGUUUAUAACAAAUCUCAAAACAGACAAUGUAUAUUUAAAUUGGACCUCAUUGGAUAUGGGUGGACUCCAGUCUAAUGGACGUUCCUGAUGCUCAUUACGUGAUGUAGACAAAGAAGACACAACUAUCAGAAAAGAAUGUCCGGACUCAAUCGUGAAAGGACAACAGAACUUACUAAUUAUUCAUAGAUAGCUAAAAAUUGUGUCACUCAUCAAGCUUCCUGUAAAAAUUCUGGAUAUGAAAUGAAUUAAAAUAUAGUGUAGAUUUUAUUUUUAGAAUGUUUUCCUCUGCAAUAAUCAUCUCAAAAAUAAUGUUAGCAAUAUGUAGUAAUUCUUGUAGGCUUUAUGUUUAUUAAUAGGCCUAUUACUGCUAAUGUUUAUCUUAUUAAUAGAGAAAGUAACCCGUUUGUUGUAAAGAAUAUAGACAUGUAAGAUAAUAAGAUGUAGGCCUAACAUUUUGAGUAUAAAAAUCAGAUUUAUUGAUUUUUGCCGGAUGUACAUGAUAUAGGCCUACAGUAUAUAAAUAUAAAAUGUAUA